AAGUAUAGUCUUUCAGGGAUCAUUUCUAUAGUUUUUUACUAGAGAAGUUUCUCUGAACGUGUGGAGUACCAGCUGAAACUAUGAAUAGACCAAUAACAAGGUCAGAAGU
ensembl:snoRNA U3 Small nucleolar RNA U3